rnacentral:snoRNA from 13 species
CGAGCAUCAGUGAUGAGUUAGCCAAAUCGUUAUCCUUGCACUUUGAUUUUACAGUGAAGAAAAUCAUGGGGACAGAUUUCUCUGAGAUGCUC